CCUUAACCGUGGCGGAGUCCUCCCCACAGCUGCCGAAGGUUCGGUUCGCAGCAGCUGCUGACUCCGUUCUCCGGUCCUGGCCCGGCAGUAGCGGAAGGGCGCAGGCGCGGCUUGCGGCUCUCCUAGCGCCUAGUAGCGGAGCGGGACUCUCGAGAAUCAUCAUCCAGGACCUGCCAGAAGCCACAA